GAACAGUGGCAUUGGAUCAAUCAAGUCCAAGAAGAGAACAUAUGCAUCCAAUUUAUAAGGAAUAACUAUACAAGCAACAUAGCUGUAGUAACAAGAUUAUACAGAAGGGUUAAACAAGAUUUAUUUGGUGCUCAUCAAAAGCCUUCGUUCUGUCAGUGGACAGACAACACAGCAAAUCAAGGAAGUGGACUGGAGGGAUAAGCUAAAAACAAAAAUUAGGCAUAUCAGCGUAAGAUGCGUACCAAGAUUAACUCGGGCAUAAUUUCUGAAGAACCAAACGCCAAUGAGAUUUACCAGCAAAUUUGUGACGGCAGAGAC